CAGCACGCUGGUGUGGGGGUAGGGACCAAGAAGACCAACAGUACCAUCGGGAUCAGUUACACAUCCCUCAAUGCUGUAUUGUUCCUUGAAGACACCAACUGCAAACAGAUCCCAGAACCUCAAGAUGAUACCAAGGUUACCAACCGCAUCGGUGUAUCCAGUGACGUGAGUGAAACUGACCUACAGUUCAGUGAGAGAAUACAUGAUACUACAUAUUCCGUGAUUUCUGCCCAGAGUAGGAACACUAAAUAUGAAGAUGACAAUGGCAUAACCCUAGAGGAGUCACCAUCUCUAUCUAGCAAGGACCAGUUCUGGGAGGUGCCCAAAGACCCCAUAAAGAAGCAAAGAAGGCAGAUUAGUCAGUUCUUUUACAGUUUAUUCUGUUGCCUCCCCACCCCGAAGAAAAGAGAGACAACCUCCAGGGCUGAAGAUCAUGCCUGGGUCUGUGAUUCUUAAGCCCUGGAUUUCCGUUCAGCCUGGUAUGGUCCACCAGCUACAGAAGGGAGCCAGGCCAGAACAGGAUAGAGCUUUGUACCGCAAGACCUGUUGUUACCUGUCAGACACCUACAGCCUGGGCACGAGCUCUCUACCCUCCUCUCCCUGCAGUGUAGACUAUUGGCUGCCUACUUCUUAACUUACGGUGCCCCAGCACUGAGGCUGGACAGAGCGGUCGAUCACUUGUUAUGAAGAGACAGCUGUCCAGAUGCAGCAAACCUCGGGAGAGGAUUUUGUGUUUCCCAUGAUAGCUCAUCACCUAAUUUUGAUCCUUAUCAAUGACCAGAUGCAAUGAACUGCAUGUACUCGGUAGCCCAUGAGAUAUGUCUCUUCAAAAGUAAGCAUGUGGCUUGAAUCUGCAAAGAAGACCGGGGAAACUACCCUCAGCUGCAUUUGUUGGACCGCCAUAGAACAGCAUCUCUCAGCUCCAUGGGGGAGCCUACCCCACAAUGACCCGGUACUGUGGAUCCUGUGGAUUGGUUUCUUUCGUGAUGUUGUCACAUCAAGACUAUGAACCUGGAGCAGUGUUAUGCUCUCUGUAGUUGAAACAAGAUUCCUCAGGCCUCACAUGGAAAGUCAUUCAUUUUUAUUAAACGCUCACUUGAUUCUUUUUUUUAUACUGGCCUAUCUCUUCCCUUUGAAAGAAAGCUAUGAUGUUCAGUCCCAGGUGAAUAAAAACGUUGUGGCACACCUUCUCAGCCAAGAACACCUAACCCUGUGUUCUAUACACCAUGGC
ensembl:lncRNA